GGGUGUGGCUCAAUGGUAGAGUGCUUGUCUAAUGUGCAAAAGGACUUGGGUUUAGUCCCCAGCACUGCCU
rnacentral:tRNA from 1 species